rnacentral:rRNA from 1 species
GAACGCUAGCUACAGGCUUAACACAUGCAAGUCGAGGGGCAGCAUUUUAGUUUGCUUGCAAACUAAAGAUGGCGACCGGCGCACGGGUGAGUAACACGUAUCCAACCUGCCGAUAACUCGGGGAUAGCCUUUCGAAAGAAAGAUUAAUAUCCGAUAGUAUAUUAAAACCGCAUGGUUUUACUAUUAAAGAAUUUCGGUUAUCGAUGGGGAUGCGUUCCAUUAGUUUGUUGGCGGGGUAACGGCCCACCAAGACUACGAUGGAUAGGGGUUCUGAGAGGAAGGUCCCCCACAUUGGAACUGAGACACGGUCCAAACUCCUACGGGAGGCAGCAGUGAGGAAUAUUGGUCAAUGGACGAGAGUCUGAACCAGCCAAGUAGCGUGAAGGAUGACUGCCCUAUGGGUUGUAAACUUCUUUUAUAUGGGAAUAAAGUAUUCCACGUGUGGGAUUUUGUAUGUACCAUAUGAAUAAGGAUCGGCUAACUCCGUGCCAGCAGCCGCGGUAAUACGGAGGAUCCGAGCGUUAUCCGGAUUUAUUGGGUUUAAAGGGAGCGUAGGUGGAUUGUUAAGUCAGUUGUGAAAGUUUGCGGCUCAACCGUAAAAUUGCAGUUGAAACUGGCAGUCUUGAGUACAGUAGAGGUGGGCGGAAUUCGUGGUGUAGCGGUGAAAUGGUUAGAUAUCACGAAGAACUCCGAUUGCGAAGGCAGCUCACUAGACUGCAACUGACACUGAUGCUCGAAAGUGUGGGUAUCAAACAGGAUUAGAUACCCUGGUAGUCCACACAGUAAACGAUGAAUACUCGCUGUUUGCGAUAUACAGUAAGCGGCCAAGCGAAAGCAUUAAGUAUUCCACCUGGGGAGUACGCCGGCAACGGUGAAACUCAAAGGAAUUGACGGGGGCCCGCACAAGCGGAGGAACAUGUGGUUUAAUUCGAUGAUACGCGAGGAACCUUACCCGGGCUUAAAUUGCAUUUGAAUAAUCUGGAAACAGGUUAGCCGCAAGGCAAAUGUGAAGGUGCUGCAUGGUUGUCGUCAGCUCGUGCCGUGAGGUGUCGGCUUAAGUGCCAUAACGAGCGCAACCCUUAUCUUUAGUUACUAACAGGUCAUGCUGAGGACUCUAGAGAGACUGCCGUCGUAAGAUGUGAGGAAGGUGGGGAUGACGUCAAAUCAGCACGGCCCUUACGUCCGGGGCUACACACGUGUUACAAUGGGGGGUACAGAAGGCAGCUACCUGGCGACAGGAUGCUAAUCCCAAAAACCUCUCUCAGUUCGGAUCGAAGUCUGCAACCCGACUUCGUGAAGCUGGAUUCGCUAGUAAUCGCGCAUCAGCCAUGGCGCGGUGAAUACGUUCCCGGGCCUUGUACACACCGCCCGUCAAGCCAUGAAAGCCGGGGGUACCUGAAGUACGUAACCGCAAGGAGCGUCCUAGGGUAAAACUGGUAAUUGGGG